GACGAACGCUGGCGGCGUGCCUAAUACAUGCAAGUAGAAGCUAGUUGCGAACGGGUGAGUAACGCGUAGGAACCUGCCUCAUAGCGGGGGAUAACUACGCGAAAGCGUAGCUAAUACCGCAUACUCUUCGAGCGGCCGAUAUCGGAUUAGCUAGUUGGUGGGGUAACGGCGCACCAAGGCGACGAUCCGGAGCCGGUUUGAGAGGACGACCAGCCACACUGGGACUGAGACACGGCCCAGACUCCUACGGGAGGCAGCAGUGGGGAAUUUUGGAAAAUGGGGGAAACCCUGAUCCAGCCAUCCCGCGUGUGCGAUGAAGGCCUUCGGGUUGUAAAGCACUUUUGGCAGGAAAGCGGGACCUGCAGAAUAAGCACCGGCUAACUACGUGCCAGCAGCCGCGGUAAUAC
rnacentral:rRNA from 1 species